AGAGUUUGAUCCUGGCUCAGGAUGAACGCUGGCGGCGUGCUUAACACAUGCAAGUCGAGCGAGAAUCUUUUUGACAAAUCUUCGGAAGCGUCAAAAAGAGGAAAGCGGCGGACGGGUGAGUAACGCGUAGGCAACCUGCCUCAUACAAAGGGAUAGCUCCGGGAAACCGGGAUUAAAACCUUAUAACACCUAAACUCCACAUGGGAGGGAAAGGUCAAAGAUUUUAUCGGUAUGAGAUGGGGCCUGCGUCUGAUUAGUUAGUUUGGUGAAGGUAACGGCUCACCAAGGGCAGCGAUCAGUAGCCGUACCUGAGAAGGGUGAUCGGCCACACUGGAACUGAGACACGGUCCAGAACUCCUACGGGGAGGCAGCAGUGGGGAAUAUUGCACAAUGGGGCGCAAGCCCUGAUGCAGCAACGCCGCGUGAGCGAUGAAGGCCUUCGGGGUCGUAAAGCUUUGUCCUAAU
rnacentral:rRNA from 1 species